rnacentral:rRNA from 1 species
AUUGAACGCUGGCGGCAUGCCUUACACAUGCAAGUCGAACGGUAACGCGGGGCAACCUGGCGACGAGUGGCGAACGGGUGAGUAAUGCAUCGGAACGUGCCUGGUAGUGGGGGAUAACUGCUCGAAAGAGCAGCUAAUACCGCAUACGACCUGAGGGUGAAAGGGGGGGAUCGCAAGACCUCUCGUUAUCAGAGCGGCCGAUGUCGGAUUAGCUAGUUGGUGGGGUAAAGGCCCACCAAGGCGACGAUCCGUAGCUGGUCUGAGAGGACGACCAGCCACACUGGGACUGAGACACGGCCCAGACUCCUACGGGAGGCAGCAGUGGGGAAUUUUGGACAAUGGACGCAAGUCUGAUCCAGCCAUGCCGCGUGCGGGAAGAAGGCCUUCGGAUUGUAAACCGCUUUUGUCAGGGAAGAAAUCUUCUGGACUAAUACUCUGGGAGGAUGGCGGUACCUGAAGAAUAAGCACCGGCUAACUACGUGCCAGCCGCCGCAGUAAUAC